GGGAUUCCUAGAGGUUAUUAAUUCCCCUGCUGUGGGACAGUCAUUCAAUGUUUGAAGAAAGUAAUUGUUUACUUCCCUCCCUUGAUUCUUUGACAGAAGAUCACCAGGGCUCUCAACCAAUCAUCAGUGCUCUCAACCAAUCAUCAGUGCUCUCAGACAAUCAUCAGUGCUCUCAGCCAAUCAUUAGUGCUCUCAGCCAAUCAUCAGUACUCUCAGCCAAUCAUCAGAUCACCUGAAUUCUAGAUUUUCCAUCAUCUCAGCCACCUUUUUUCACAUGCAACUUGUUAAACGUUGUCCAAGGAUGAGAUGGAAUGAAAUGGACACCUUUAGUGUACAGAUAACAUGGACGGAAGUUCUGUUGUAACAAGGCUCACUGUUUCCAAAAUCAAAUCAGUGACAAAACCAUGAAGAUCAUAGGAUUUGGAAGGUGAAAAAUCAUAGCAUUCAGGACUGCAGGUGCCACCAGCUAAUUGGGCUCACUGGGCUCUGAAACUGCAAGGAGGUGCUGUGACAAGUUACUGAGAACCAAGAAACUUUGGUAACCCCUGAAAUUUGGUGAAAAAAUGAAAUCAAAACUGUGUAAAUACAGUCAACAAUCUCA
rnacentral:lncRNA from 1 species